rnacentral:rRNA from 1 species
UACGUAGGGUGCGCGCGUUGUCCGGAAUUAUUGGGCGUAAAGAGCUUGUAGGCGGUUUGUCGCGUCUGCCGUGAAAGCCCAGGGCUUAACCCUGGGUCUGCGGUGGGUACGGGCAGACUAGAGUGUGGUAGGGGAGACUGGAAUUCCUGGUGUAGCGGUGAAAUGCGUAGAUAUCUGCAGGAACACCCGUGGCGAAGGCGGCUGGCUGGACCGCAACUGACGCUGAGGAACGAAAGCUAGGGGAGCAAACAGG